CAGCCGCCGCGGUAAUACAGAGGGUGCGAGCGUUAAUCGGAUUUACUGGGCGUAAAGCGUGCGUAGGCGGCUUCUUAAGUCGGAUGUGAAAUCCCCGAGCUUAACUUGGGAAUUGCAUUCGAUACUGGUUAGCUAGAGUGUGGGAGAGGAUGGUAGAAUUCCAGGUGUAGCGGUGAAAUGCGUAGAGAUCUGGAGGAAUACCGAUGGCGAAGGCAGCCAUCUGGCCUAACACUGACGCUGAGGUACGAAAGCAUGGGGAGCAAACAGGAUUAGAUACCCCAGUAGUCCCUGUCUCUUAUAC
rnacentral:rRNA from 1 species